GCUCUUCGCCGAGCUCACCGACCACAUCGUGCCCGUGGCCACGGACUGCGAGAUGAGCAUGUACCACGGCACCACGGCCAGGGGCUGGAAAGGGAUGGACCCCUUCUACUUCUUCAUGAACCCGCGCCCGCGGUACACCGUCACGUUCCUCGACAAGCUCCCCGCCGAGCUCACCUGCGGCGGCGGUGGCAGGUCCUGCCAUGAGGUGGCCAACCACGUGCAGAAGCUGCUGGCUUCGUCGCUCUCCUACGAGUGCACCGGCUUCACCCGGAAGGACAAGUACCGGGCGCUCGCCGGCAACGAUGGCAUCGUCACCGUCAACACGGCCAAGAAUUGAUCGAAGAGGAUAUCUGUUGCGGCAGUACAUAUAUAAACACGUACAGUACAGACGUCCUUAAUUAAUCGGACUGUAACUUCACUAGUACUGUUCUUGGAUGAACUGGGCAAUGAUUCGUUGAUCGAUCGAACGGUAUAUAUAUGUAUGUAAACACGAUGAGUUGAAACAGAGAAACAAAGAUCACUGAACAAAUGAUUUUAUUUCGAUUCGCUAAAAAAUCAUCAAUCAUGGCCCGGUCAGCAAACCUCUUACAAUGUUCAUGCAUGUGACUAUAAGGUGCAUACGUUGCAACUCCUCCGGCACAAGCCAGUGUUGAAGUAAAUUGUCUAGUCUCUUUUCAUAAGUUCGGGCUUUUGGUUUAGAUAGCUAGCGCAUGCAGUUCAAUAUGGUAUCAGAACGGGAGGUCUCAAGUUCGACUCCCGGCCAACGCAGUAUUUUAAACAAAUAUUUGCGGCACCCCAAACAAACGUAGGGUGAGUGUUGAAUUAAAUUGUCUAGUCUCUUUCCAUCAGUGGUUUAGAUGGCCAGCGCAAUGCUGGUCCGCACCUCGCUCAUCACGCUCUUCCCGUCAACCACCGUUGACUUCUGCAGCAUGCCCUCCGCCUUCGCCACACGCACAGCCGUCAGCCCAUGCAUGUCAAUUUGUCGUUGUCAGGUAAGUGAUUAAGCGUGCCGAGACAGAGAGAUUCGAGCGAGCACGCGAGCAAAUAAACUCAUCACUUACCAGCGCGACGAGGUGAUCGCACUCCGCCGCCGACAGGAACCCUUGUACAGGAACGCCCUGGACAAGGAGAUAAGAGGACCACAAUUAUAACGCGAUUGGGCCUUGUUCGGAGGGCUCUACGGUCGUAUGGGCGGAGAGAGGGAGAUUGGUCGGUCACCUGGGGCGCCACGAGACAUGGACGGCGUGGGAAGGGUCGAAGCGUCCGCCGCCGCCGGAGAAGGAGAAGAAAGCCACAGCGUAGGCGAAGCAGACGAGCAGGACGGCGAGGAGGACGCGCUGGAAAAGGAGAGCUGCCAUGCGGUGCGGCGGCGGGGGCGAGGUGCGCGUCAUCGCCGGGAUCUUCUGCUUCGGCGAUGGAGACGACGAGUCGAGCUAUGGGUCCGGUUUGUCAGCGCCGGAGUUCCUUUUUAGACACUGUCAGUGCUGGAAGUAAUGAGCAGCCGCCCCUUGCUGUAUCCAUCCCAGUGACGUCGGCGAGACCUUCUGGAAGGGUCGGUGACGCGGCGCCAGAUAGGGGCCAUAUGGACUACUCGCCGGCAGGCCCGUAUGGGCUUGGGCUUGGUUUGACUAUGGAAAUGAAAGCAAAAUACACUACUGUUAAUAUUUAUGCAACGAAAUCAAAACGAAAGCUUAAAAAUCGACCAGGUCCUAACCUUUUAGUCAAAAGAUACCGAUGACUGUGAGCCCUCGCCAAUAGUAAGCACAAGCGCUUAUGUCUUCGGGGUCUAGAGGUUGACAAUGGCUUUGUUGUAGAUCAAUGUUGGAGGAGCGAUAUGACAAACGGCAGUCUUGCUUGAAAACUUGCAUAUGCUCCACAACCAUUUUGUCACAACAAUAGGAUGACCCGUAAAUAAGUAUGUAGUAAUCAUGAUUCACAUUAUAGAUUGAAUUAGGGCAAUGAUUAGUUUUUGUUGGCUUUAAGUAUCUCAGCGAUCAAGAAAACAUAUGGUUUUUUCACUUGAGAGACUGCAACUUUGUUAUACUCACUUUCAUUCAUAAAAAACUACAUCUCUGCCUAUGGUUCAAAUAUGUAUUUUUCCCACGAAAGAACAUUGAAAUCUAUGAUAAUACUGAAAUGUACAAAUCUCGAUCGAUAAGACAAUGUGUGUUAGGGAGAUUAUUAUCCACUUUGCAUCUCUCAAUCUCAUUUUGUAAAACAAAGCAUGUUGAAGUCAAAAUGUACCCCCUAGUCAUCGGCUCAUGACUACCAGGCCAAUCAUAAAAUAGAAUCUAUGACACAUAUGAAUUGACAUGGCACAAGAUGAACCCGUGGAGUCGGAAAAAAGAAGUCAUUUGCAUCGAUUUUUCAUGAAAAAAUCCAACAAUCCAUUCUUAGUGGCACACAAAUUCUUUUUUUAAUCAGCCAUGGCCUUUUACGAAAAAUUGAAGUUAUUUCUGUCGUACCAACACCUUUUCUUCUGACGGAUCAUAUCCUGAUGCAAUAACCAAAAGUAAGAAAAAGAAAAGAGGACAAAAAGUACGAAUCUAAAUGUACACAUCGCCCAUCCAUCCGUGCAGCCGCCACCCCCGGAUGCCGUUAAACCCUAACUUCCAUCUCUCCUAUUUCUAGGGUUUUUCUCACUGCCAACUCUCCACUCCCUUCCCCUGCUACCCCCCACCCCCUCCAACAGCAACACAUCAAAACCCGCCGCCGCCGCCGCCGCGCCGCCAGACCGGCGGAGGAACGAGCCACCAUGGAUCGGUACCAGCGGGUUGAGAAGCCGCGGCCCGAGGCCGCCGCCAUCAGCGAGAACGAGAUCCGUAUCACCACACAAGGCCUCAUCCGCAACUACGUCACAUACGCCACCUCCCUCCUCCAGGUACCACACCAGCCGCCACUCGCGCAUCCGUCGGCCAUCCCCUGUUUCACGGGAGCAGCCUCGCAUCGGUGCGAUAUCCUGCUAGAUCUCGUUGCUGCACGAAAACAAAAAACAUAUCCGGCAAUAUUUGGUAGAAAUGCCCUGUCUGGGCCCUGAUGGAAAUGCUUGUGGGUUAGCCACCCCCUGUGGUAUCGGACGCACGAUGUAUCGAGUGUUUGGGUUCGAGACAUGCACCUUCUGGGUAGGAACCUUUGAUUUAUUGUGUGGAGUCCCUUGUAGCUGGCGAUUAACAUGUAUGAUAUCUAGUUUUGCAAUUUGCAUUAUUUCUACGAGAUUUGGUGCUCCAAGACCAAAACCCCAAAUUUACGGCAAUGUGAUAUUUUCCCACCCUCUUAAAUGGAAUGUUAUUCGGUCCAGGAUAUAUGCCCGCUGUGCAAUACACUAUCGUAGAGUAGUGAGUAAUACAUUCGGUCAGGGGUGCUGGUUACCGAUUGUAUCCACAUUACAACAAAUUAUGCUCCUCUUUCUCGAGUGCAAAUUGACAACUGCUGUUUACUGCACUGUGCAAUGUUUUCUUUCGCUCACCUUUCAGUGAUCUCGCUGUACUUCUAGUUCUGAUGACUGAAUUCACUCAAUUCAGAGGGUUCUCUUGACAGUCAUUAUCCGAAACAGAUUCCAUCAUGUUUAGUUGGCAAAGGCUGGUAUUCUCUUGGUGUGAACCCCUUAAUACAGAGCCAAUUGCCAAUAAAGGAAUUGAGAUUCGAACCAAAACACUGAAUGGGUUCCUUGCCCCUUCUGUUCUUAGAUGCAUCAAACGAGUUUCCCUGCUGGCCCUUUGCUUGCACCUAGCCGAUAUCGUUGCUGUUAUGCUGCCAGCAUGGCUUGCUGUUUUGUAUUUUCUAGAUUACUACUGGUCAUUGCCAUUUCCAGAAGCUAGGUGCUUUUAUUCAUCUUACCCCAUUUUACCUUGGUAGUGAUACGGUGAUACCACAUCCUGGAGUCUGUUUAUUCCUUAAUCAAGGAGGAUGCAUCAUGCAACAAAUGUGUUAAUCUCAACCUUUCUUGUACAACUAUGACCUGCUAGUUUAUAUCCUGUGAUGCCAUUUGUAAUUGGCUCACUAUUACUACUCACCCAAAUCAUAUGUUGUGGUAUCCAUGCAUUGAAUCUUAUAAGCCAAUGAAAGCAGGAAAAAAGGGUGAAAGAAAUUGCGCUAAAGGCUAUGGGACAAGCUAUCAGCAAGACAGUGGCUAUUGCUGAGAUCAUAAAGGUUGGUCUGUUCGUAGGUCUCUUUAGACACCAUUGUUUUGACUUUUGGAAAUUUACCAGCUCUAUUAACUGCAGAAAAGGAUCCCUGGGUUGCAUCAAGAUACAACAAUAAGUUCAGUCAGUAUUACUGAUGUAUGGGAACCCAUUGAGGAAGGCCUUGUACCGUUAAGUCUCAAACCUGUGCAUUUGCUGAUAUAUCCUUGGAUCACCCUCUUGGUCUGUUUUAUUAAUAUUGUCGUCUUGUUGCAGAUUGGAGAUGACUCGUCAUGUUUCAAUGAUCUCAAUCUCCUUGUCACCUAAGGAGCUUGACACGAAUGCACCUGGGUAUUCUGCUUGACAUAGUUUCUUUCUCAGGAUUUGUUUUGAAGCAUCUAAGGAUGCACUAGCUUGAUCCUAUGAGUAUUCUUCUAAUAGACUUUUAUGCGAUACUGUUGUAUUUUUUUAGAUACCAAGCUCCAGUCCAUGCAGAGCCACUUAAACCAAGGUACCAGCAGGUUCAGCAAUAUCAACAACAACACCCGCCAAGGCAAAGUCAUGGUCAAACAGGUGAACAUACAAUUACUAGAUGUAGUUUUUAUGUGACUGAACUCUAACCUGUUCCACAUAUAUUGAAGAUUCAUAUGGACGUGGACGUGGAAGAGGCAGAGGGCGAGGAAGGGGCUGGGGUGGCAGGGGAGGUUAUGGCGGAGGUUAUGGUGGGUAUGAUAACUACCAAGGAGGUUAUGGUGGAUAUGGCAACCAAGGAGGGUAUGGCCACAACCAAGGUGGGUAUGACAACCAGGGAGGUUACGGUCACAACCAAGGUGGAUAUGGCAACCAAGGAGGGUACGGACACAACCAAGGUGGCUAUGGAGGUGGAUAUGGUUACAACCAAGGUGGAUAUGGGGGAUAUGGUAAGUGCUAUCAUAGAUUUUGUUCUGUUUUCUGUUAUUUGAGUUUUCAAUACCAUUGGCGAAGUAUUUAUGACGAUGCAAUCUCUAGAAUAGUUUAGUGUCUAAAUUGCUUCAGUUUAUAUGUUGUUUGUGCUUUUUGUUUUGUUUUGUUUUGUUUUCUGAAGAUUCUAUAUAACUAUUUACACUCACCAUUUGCCUCAUCAGAAAAUGGUGGCUGGAACUACAACCAGAACAGAGGCCGUGGUGGUGGUGGCGGCGGUGGCAGAGGAAGAGGCAACUGGGGAUACAGUGGUAUGUGUAAUCUCAGUGACCUACAUUCUAUUGAGUCAUAAAUUGAAGUUUUUAUUGGUACCCAUCUGUCCUGUUUAUUUAUCUCAACUCACUGCAAAUAUAACUGGCAACAAUUUGUGCCGCUGAUUGGUGCCUCCCAUAUGCCAGAUGUUGGUCGAAGUAUUUGUUUGAACUUGCUAAUCAGGAGACACACGAAGAAAUGACUGUAUAUUACUGUAUCGAUUUGAUCUUUGGUGCCAAUGAUAUGAUUUCACUACUUUUAGAGCUAAUCUGAUUUCUCUUUAUUUUCUUUGUUAGACAUGUGGGUAUUGUGCAAUAAACAUAUUCUGAAAACUGAGUUAUAUAGAUAUUGGUGAACUAGGAAUAGUUUCUUAACAACUUUCUUGUGUAAGUCCCAACCCAUCUUUUUAGACCAUAUUUGUGUAUUGCAAUCACAUUAAUCAAACAUGACUGCUUGUGAUUCAGAAAAAGGAUGGAUGCUGUAAAUGAUAGAAUAAUAACAUCCCAUUUCUUCCAAAAAUCAUUUGAUGGCAUUACUUCGAUGAUUCUGUGUUUUGCUUUCGCAGUUCAUCUACUGUAAUUGGCUCUUGUUUAAAAACAAGUAAAGUCCUUAAACAAUCGAUUAUGGGAUCUGUCAUUGCAUCCAAAGGUUCUGGUGUUUGCUUUCACAGUUUAUCUGGUGUUGUAAUUGGUUCUUAUUGAAAGAUAAGUAAAUGGAUCAGUUGCCAUCUUGUUGCAUAGUGAGUUCUUUAAACAAUCAAUGGUGGGAACUGUCAUUGCAGGACCAGGAUACGAGCGUGGUGGCAGAGUUGGAGGCGGCCCAGGUGGCCCAGGCGGCAGGGGUUAUGUGCGAGGUCGUGGACGGAUGGGUCCUGGACGUGGGCGGGGCAACCAGAACUAUUAGACCAUCAGGUGCUGUAUUGUUACAAAAAAGAGAGAAGGGACGCGUUCUGUGGAUUGGAACCGAACCGUAGUGCUGUUUCGUUGUGAACCAUCGACUAGCCUUCCCAGUUUUUAGCUAUAAUCACCAAUGGUAUCUGUACCAUUGCUUCAUUUCUGUGGGAUUUUGACAAGCAUGUUAUGUUAUUCCUGGGACACCUUUCCUGUAUUUAAGAGUGCAUUUUUGAAUAGUUCAUCUGUUUCCUGCCUCGGCUUCCUUAGUUCAUGUGCCAUCUCUGUACAGUUGUGUCUACUGAACUGAAGUUGUUCGUAUCUUGCGAACUGGAAACUGAAGGUUCUGUAAUUUGAGAACUCUAUUUUUAAUCCUUAUUGCUCUUGUCAGCGAAAUCAAUUGAAAAUCUAGUUUGAUAGGUAUAAGCUCCAAAUUCUGCCGAACAGGCCCUAGUAUUUUGGUCCCAGUGUGCUUGCAAAAGCCACUUGACCUACAGAUUUGUGAGCACAUCCUGUCAGGUUCUUUCUAGAAUGAUCGUCGAAAUUUGUAGGAUUUUAAGUUUUAACCCAUGGGAAUUUUUCUACUCCGUACGAAAGCCUUUUUGGAUCCAAGGGAUGACGAGACUUAGCAAAGCCGUCACAUAUUGCUAAAUUUUGUGGACAUCGAAAAUCUCUUGUAAGGUCGAUUGAAGAACUUACUUACUCCGUACUUGAUUUUCCCCUAAUCAUUAUUGUAUAGCUGGCUGUUUGUCUUUGCAUUAUCACUAUACCAUUACUCCCUAUGUUCUAGAAAUAUAGGGUGCACGUUUCGCGAGAUUUAACUUUGACUACAAUUUGUUCGGAUCUAUAUGAGCACGGUGUGAUACAAAAUUGAUAUCAUCGAGUUAUUAUUAAAAAAACUCUAGAUUAGUACUAAAUCAGAAGAGACACUUACUGUGAUUCGGAGGGAAUAUCAAUUACUCUCUCCGUCUCAUAUUAAGUGUAUCUAGGCUUAAAAAGCGUCUAGAUACAUGUAAUAGAAAAGUCAUUUAAUAUGGGACGGAGUGAGUAUAUAUAACCAAUCCAUGUAAAGUGUGACAAAUCAAUUAAAGUUAAAUUUUAGAAAACCCUACUUUACCCUAUAUUUUGGAACCCAGGAAGCAAUUAUGCUCCUUGGUAAAAUCUUAGAAUUAAAAUCUGUUUCAGUCGCCUGGUUUUAAACAAAACCGGCCUGAAAUCACCGGUUAAGAUCUAAGGGUCGUCCCCACUAUCCUAUCUUCCACGUGCUAUCGUUAGAUUAAGAUCCGACAGUCAAAUACGUCGACUGAUCUCUAACUAACGAACAUACCAUUUCUGAAUAGCAAAACCGUUAAAAAAUAUUCUUCCAUCAACAUCAUCAGAGCACCGUCAAACCGCGGUAAAAGUGCACAUGUUACCAUAUUUCAGUGGUUAUUAAGUGAGACAAAAAGUAAAAGUAGUUCGAAUUAAGGGCGGAAGCCCAAUCUAGCCGUUCAGGGAUCAGGAAAGUUGACUUGUCAAGUAAAAAAAAACCUGACCGGCCGUGAGAAGCUGAAAACAGUCCAGUGCUGGCCGUCUCUCACGCACUGCCCUUGUUUCGCAUCCCCCAAACUGAAACAACACGGUGGACGCCACGUAUUCCGUCACGCAACAGGGAAGGAGGGGGGCUCGUUUCUGUUCCGGUGUCUAUCUAUCGGCCAGACACCACAUGCACCGGCUACUACUGGACACGGCCCGAUGAACAUGCCCGAAUAGGCUGGCUGCAUCCAACGAGUCCACUGCUUCAGCCCGACCGAACCUGGACGGCUCCCCGUCCAGGUGCUCCGUUCCGUCGCCCAGAUUCAUCCGAUCGGCCGGCUGGCCUAUAUAUUACAGCGACAGCUCGCCUUCGUUGUGCCUAGCCGGCGUACGGUAUUGAUGCCCCCCCACCAGUGAAGUGAUCAAAAUCGAGAUUCGAGAAGUCAAUCAUUAGCUGAGCUAGCUACUGAUUCAUAGAAGGAAGUGAUUCGAGGAGGUAAUAGAUAGCUUAGGCAUGUGUUGGUGGAGAUAGAGAGAAAGAUGGUUCAGGUGGGCAUGGCUCAGCCGGCGAGCCCCGAUGCGGCGGCGCACGUCGCGCACAAGAUCCCCUCCGGCGACGGGCCGUAUGCACGGGCCAAGCACUACCAGGUAAAUCUAGGCUCGAAUUCUGAAUCGACAUGCUUUUUGCUGGCUAGCUAGCUAUACCUAUGCAUUUUCCGGCAGAUGUGGGAAAUGUGUGCAUGGAGAUGUCCGUAGAGUGGAAUUGUAUUAUUCAGAUAGUGUAGAUUCUCUUGGUCUUGACAUAGUGAGACGCUCAUAGUUUAAUUAUUGUGCUAUAUCUCUCGUAUAGUAUACAAAACAUUUGGUUAAUCAAAGUAAGAUGGGUAGAAGAGAUUACAGAUGCAUGCAUCAAGUUAAACAGAUUUAGUCAACGAAUGUGCGGUUGUUUUAAUGUCAGUUCCAUCCCUGGUUGGUUAACCACAGCCCAUCUUAGUAAUCUCCGCAUACUUCCUCCGUCCCAUAUCAAGUGACUCAAAUUUGUCCAAAUAUGGAUGUAUCUAUUACUAAAAAACGUCUAAAUACAUGUAAUAAAAAGACAAUUAAUAUGAGACGGAGGGAGUAUAUGCUAAGACGGAUGCGGAGAGCCAGAUUGCACACCUGGGGUUCGCUCUAGCAUAGAAAGUAGAAACUACUCCCUCCGUUCCUAAAUUCUCUUGUCGUUGUUUUAGUACAUAUUUAAACUAAAACAAUGACAAUAAUUUAUGAACGGAGGAAAUAGUAGUUAUAUGAUUUUUUGGGUAUUUUAACAGCAAGAAUUUAUUUAUAUCGAGAAUGAGACGAAACAACGAGAAGGUUCCAUUUUAAGGCCAUCCACGCCACACCGCAGCUUACUUCCCUUUUCACUUGUGGCACCGAAGUCUACCACUGGAGCUAGAAAAUCCAUGGAUGCCUAAUGCCAAGAUUCCUAGUUCCGUUUGCAUCAAUAGGCACCGGGCAAAGUCAAAAAGACACAUCAGAGCCCCACCUGCAAGUGAAGUUGGAGAGGAAGAGAUCAUUUAUUUUACUCAUGGGUCCCACCCUGAAGUUAGCACCGGAUUUGUUUAGCAACAGAAUAUUACUGAACUUAUAUAUAGGACCUACGUGACGUGUAAUGAAAAACUUAACUAAACUGAAAGAUCGAUGGCCUGCUAAGAGACACUAGCAUUAUCAUGGAGUAGUAGUGAGUUAUUAGUGACCGCAUGUUGUCAUUUUUAAGCACGGACGCAGUCCAUGUAAUCAUAUACUCCUACAUUGCUUUAAUUAAAUUCCAUGCGAGAUUGCAAUUAACAUAUACAAACGUGGACGACAACGGGCACUAAUUAAUCUACAAUUUCCUCCGCGGGCAUGCAAUGCAUGCAUCAUCUCGCUCUUAAAUAAACAAAUUAACCAAUAUAUGCAAACUGAAUCGAUCUCAGCUGGUGGAGAAGGACCUGGACGCGUCGAUCGUGUGGUUCUGGAAGGCGAUCGAGACAGGGGACAAAGUGGACAGCGCGCUCAAGGACAUGGCCGUGGUGAUGAAGCAGCGCGGGUACCUGAAGGACGCCAUAGACGCCAUCAAGUCGCUCCGGCACCUCUGCAACCCGAGCCGGCAAUCGCAGGAGUCGCUGGACAACAUCCUGCUGGACCUCUACAAGGCCAGCGGCCGCACGAGGGAGGAGAUCGACCUGCUCAAACAAAAGCUCCGGCGCAUCUUCCACGGCGAAGCAUUCCCCCGUGGUAAAUCCACGAAGCGGGCUCGCUCGCACGGGCGGAAGAUCCACGUGUCCGUGAAGCAGGAGACGUCCAGGGUGCUGGGCAACCUGGCCUGGGCGUACAUGCAGGAGCGCAACUUCAUGGCGGCGGAGGCGGUUUACCGGAAGGCGCAGAUGGUGGAUCCCGACGCGAACAAGGCGUGUAACCUGGCGCUUUGCCUUGUGGAGCAAAGGAGGAUGGGGGAUGCGGAGAAGGUGCUCGAUGGCGUGCUCUCGGGAGUGUAUGUGGAGCAGAUUGGAGGAGGGGAGAAGGCUGUGAGGAAGGCGGAGGAGCUGAUGGAGCGGAUCAGGGCUGGUAAGGGAGGUGACGGGGUGGAAGAAGAUCAGGAGGAUGGCGUUGAGGCGGAUGAGAUGGCGGAGCUGCUGGACGUGGUGGUGAAGGAGUGGGCGAGGCCGUAUAGGCGGAGUGACCGGAGGCUGCCC
rnacentral:lncRNA from 1 species